rnacentral:tRNA from 1 species
UAGAGUAUAGUGUAAUGGGUAGCACAGAGAGUUUUGAGUUCUCAGGUAUGGGUUCAAGUCCUAUAAUUCUAG